GCCAACUCCUCCAACGCCAACUGUGCGGUCGGCUACCAACGUGCCACGCACGGGGCCCACCCCAACGCCCCGAUCUGCAGUUGCAACUACCCCUGCAACGACACCGAUAUCAGCACCAGUUCCUCGUUGUGGCACGCGAUGGUCGCCUUCAGAGGCAAAUGACAGCAAGUUGCGCAGGCACACGGGCAUUCUUUAAACUGCCUGUCGCAUACGCAUGUGACUCAAGCGUGUGAGUCCACGGGUCUGUGCUAAAUUUGCUGCAAACCACAUCACACGCACCUUCAUCGCACCACGAGGCGCGACGUCGGUCGACCACCUAUCCUUCGUAGCCGCGCAACAAGACCUUAACUCUCAACUCGUGCGGUACACCCGCGGAAUGGAAUAUCAAUAUGUCGUCGUCAGCCUAGACCGCAACCAUGUCGUUCCACGCGUCUGAGCAGCGUUGCGUCAACGCUACACCAGCUUCAGCGACUACUAGGCUAUUCAUUUGCCUAAUGGGGCCGGGAUGGCUAAAUGACCACUCCAUCCCCCUCACCAUAAGACACUGUCACACUACAUUCACCACAUCAAUUUACAUCCACAUCACCACACCUACUUACCAUACAUUCCACAUCACUACACCAUGCACUAUGAAGACAUCAAUAGAUACUAUAUAAGGGACUCAAAAGGAAUCCCGUACGCUUUUUAGCAUUCGAUUCGCUUACGGCCACAUCUUUCUAUUCGAGCAUCCGCCUAAAGUCACUUCGUUUUUCUUUCCUUUUACGAACGGUGAGUGAAAUUAAAAUUAAUUUAUUAGUUAAGUAAAUAGUACCAGCUAAAAAAAAGGUAAAUAUUCAAACGAUUUCAAGUUCUUUUUGAGAAAACUUCAUUUCUCCAACUAGAAAAUAAGGAUAACUCUGUGCUUGAUGUGAGAAUAGAUAGCCGUAAAUUAUUCAAAAGUUCGAAUAAGGUAUUGUGGCUUAUUUUAGCGUCCAUAGAUGAUUUUCCAAACGAAUUGCAGUUUGCAAUUGCACGCUUUACUGCGAAGAAGUAAAUUAUUAAAAAAAAAAAUGGCUUGCAUGUUAGUGUUUAACCUGUUAAAGAGAGCAUUCGUUUAUGCAAUACCCCCGUUCGAACUUUUGUUACACUGAAAAAAGUAGUUGUUCUAAAUGUAAUCAAGUGGGUGACUACAAAGAAAGAAUCGUUUUUUUUUUAAACAAAUAAAAAAUUUAAAUACUGACCUGUCUUUUAAAAAUGAAAUGACAGAUCACAUCACAUUACUCCUUUUAAAUUUAAAGAAAGCAUUUUAUAGUCAGGAAAUUUCAAGAUGGUUUCCCAAUUCCCUUUAGUUGCUUCAAUUGUUGAUUAAAAAAAGUAAUACAAACGUAAACAAAGUUAACAAAGUUAACAAGAAAAUAUAAUAUCAUUUCUCUUUAAUUAAGUAAUUCAGAGUUCGACCGAAUAUGUAGAAGUUUAAAUAAAAUCAACAAUUGGGAAGCGACAGAGUUUAGGCAGUUCUUUUGGUAUAGGUGAAUUUGUCCUUAAAGAUUACGUUGGUAGUGACCAUUACUCUUUUUUUUCUCAGGUAUAAGACUACUAUCAGGCAAUAAGUCAUAUAGCACUGCCAAAGAAAUCUUGAAAGAAUUCGUUGAUUUGUUUGGAAAUAUUAUAUAAUAUAUAUACACGGAGGCCAUUUAGUUAGUUACAAUAUACAUGGUUUACUACAUUAAGAUUACUGUACUAAGCAAUAUGGUUUUCUAGAUAAAUUUUCCGCUUAUAAGUUUGAAAACUACAUGCAAUAUUUCAAAAAAAAAAACUUAUGACUAAGCCCAAUAAAAGACUGCGGCAAUUACAUUUAUUACUUGAAGAAAGAAAUAGUUAAGACUGCAUUUUAUUUCAUUAUGUUAAAUUAUUUAAAAAUAAUGUUGAUACUGCCAAAUGUUUAUUUCUCAAUCAGAUGGAUUCACCAACCAGCCCUAUUCGAAGAAAUUAGAACUGUCCAACAACGUCUUCGACUCCCGUAAAAGAGCAAUUGCUAUUGAAGCAGAAAAAGUUUAAUAUUUGUAGCUACAACUCGGAGGCAAGCUUAUCAAAACGACAGGAAAACACGAGGAUUUCAACAUGUUAAAAACUAUUUCUACUCAGAAUAUAUAAAGCGAAGUUAUUGGUUUGUUAAAUUAGAAUUAUAAUAUAAGUAUUAUUAUAAUAAUUAUAAAUUUAUAAUAAUAAUAAUAAAUUAUAAUAAUUAUAAAUAAAUAAAAAACAUUUAAGUUAAAAAAAAAAA